ACGGCGGACGGGUGAGUAACGCGUAGGCAACCUGCCUUAUGCAGAGGGAUAGCCAUUGGAAACGAUGAUUAAAACCUCAUAACGCCGGAGAGUCACAUGGUUUUCCGGCCAAAGAUUUAUCGGCAUAAGAUGGGCCUGCGUCUGAUUAGUUAGUUGGUGGGGUAACGGCCUACCAAGGCGACGAUCAGUAGCCGACCUGAGAGGGUGAUCGGCCACAUUGGAACUGAGACACGGCCCAAACUCCUACGGGAGGCAGCAUG
rnacentral:rRNA from 1 species